rnacentral:rRNA from 1 species
GUGGGGAAUAUUGCACAAUGGGGGAAACCCUGAUGCAGCGACGCCGCGUGAGCGAAGAAGUAUUUCGGUAUGUAAAGCUCUAUCAGCAGGGAAGAUAAUGACGGUACCUGACUAAGAAGCACCGGCUAAAUACGUGCCAGCAGCCGCGGUAAUACGUAUGGUGCAAGCGUUAUCCGGAUUUACUGGGUGUAAAGGGAGCGCAGGCGGUGCGGCAAGUCUGAUGUGAAAGCCCGGGGCUCAACCCCGGUACUGCAUUGGAAACUGUCGUACUAGAGUGUCGGAGGGGUAAGCGGAAUUCCUAGUGUAGCGGUGAAAUGCGUAGAUAUUAGGAGGAACACCAGUGGCGAAGGCGGCUUACUGGACGAUAACUGACGCUGAGGCUCGAAAGCGUGGGGAGCAAACAGGAUUAGAUACCCUUGUAGUCC